AUUGUUGUUAUAAUCAACACGGUUGAAACUUUUAGAAAAAAAUUUUAAAUUAGGAGGCGAUCGUCCCAGUGAACUAACCGUACCCCAAACCAACACAAGUAAACAAACAGAGUGUAUUAGAGCGCUUAAGAAAACCAUGUCGAAGGAACUUUGUAAAAUGACUCGUAACCUCGGGAGAAAGGGUGCUUUCCUAUCUUUUGAUUAGGAAAGCGGCACAUACCAAGAGGUAGCGAUUGUUUAUUAAAAAACACAGGACUCUGUUCAUUGGUACACCUGCCCAGUGCCAGAAGGUCGGAAGGAGAAGUUUUAUAGAUUUUGAAUUGAAGCUCCAGUGAACGGCGACAGCAACUCUAACUGUUCUAAGGUAGUGAAAUUCAUUGUCGCAAAACAUAUAUCUGCCAUAAUUCUUACGAGCGAAAUUUGUUAUGGUUAUA
rnacentral:ncRNA from 1 species